rnacentral:rRNA from 1 species
CCCUUAGAUGUUCUGGGCUGCACGCGCGCUACACUGAUGCACUCAACGAGUUUACGACCUUGCCCGAUAGGGUUGGGUAAUCUUUUUAAAAUGCAUCGUGAUGGGGAUAGAUUAUUGCAAUUAUUAAUCUUCAACGAGGAAUUCCUAGUAAGCGCGAGUCAUCAGCUCGUGCUGAUUACGUCCCUGCCCUUUGUACACAGCGCCCGUCGCUCCUACCGAUUGAGUGCUCAGGUGAAUAAUUCGGACUGCAGCAAUGUUUGGAUCCCGAACGUUGCAGCGGAAAGUUUAGUGAACCUUAUCACUUAGAGGAAGGAGAAGUCGUAACA